UACGUAGGGUGCGAGCGUUAAUCGGAAUUAUUGGGCGUAAAGCGCGCGCAGGCGGUCCUUUAAGUCUGAUGUGAAAGCCCACGGCUCAACCGUGGAAGGUCAUUGGAAACUGGAGGACUUGAGUACAGAAGAGGAAAGCGGAAUUCCACGUGUAGCGGUGAAAUGCGUAGAGAUGUGGAGGAACACCAGUGGCGAAGGCGGCUUUCUGGUCUGUAACUGACGCUGAGGCGCGAAAGCGUGGGGAGCAAACAGG
rnacentral:rRNA from 1 species